CAAAAUAAAGCAUUUUGUUGAUGCAAUUCGCUUACACCGAAAAGAAGGUUUUGCCUAUUUUGA
rnacentral:tRNA from 1 species